rnacentral:lncRNA from 1 species
UUAAAACUCUCAGUGAGGAAUUUAAAAUGUAAUAGUGAAAGGACGAGCUAAAAACUUUGAUGAAAAGUGGAACAAAAUGAUAAAUUCAUCAACAGAGGAUUCCUUGACAACUUAAUUUCAACAUCGAUAGUAGAAAAUAUUAAGAACUCCAAUGUAAUAUGUUACACUGACGAUCUCCAACUGAUGUUCAUCAAGACCAGAGGCCAAUUGCCAAAAUCACAAAAGUGUUUUAGAGGUCAUCUUCGGGCUCCAAAAAAGAAUGAAAAUCUCUCAACUCCCAUUUGGAAUACAAAAAUAUGCUUUGCAUAAUCGAUAACCAAUUCAAAAAUCGCCCAGGAAAAAAAUUAUUCUCU